rnacentral:rRNA from 1 species
AGAGUUUGAUCCUGGCUCAGGAUGAACGCUGGCGGCGUGCCUAAUACAUGCAAGUCGAACGCUUCACUUCGGUGAAGAGUGGCGAACGGGUGAGUAAUACAUAAGUAACCUGGCAUCUACAGGGGGAUAACUGAUGGAAACGUCAGCUAAGACCGCAUAGGUGUAGAGAUCGCAUGAACUCUAUAUGAAAAGUGCUACGGGACUGGUAGAUGAUGGACUUAUGGCGCAUUAGCUUGUUGGUAGGGUAACGGCCUACCAAGGCGACGAUGCGUAGCCGACCUGAGAGGGUGACCGGCCACACUGGGACUGAGACACGGCCCAGACUCCUACGGGAGGCAGCAGUAGGGAAUUUUCGGCAAUGGGGGAAACCCUGACCGAGCAACGCCGCGUGAAGGAAGAAGUAAUUCGUUAUGUAAACUUCUGUCAUAGAGGAAGAACGGUGGAUAUAGGGAAUGAUAUCCAAGUGACGGUACUCUAUAAGAAGGCCACGGCUAACUACGUGCCAGCAGCCGCGGUAAUACGUAGGUGGCGAGCGUUAUCCGGAAUUAUUGGGCGUAAAGAGGGAGCAGGCGGCACUAAGGGUCUGUGUGAAAGAUCGAAGCUUAACUUCGGUAAGCCAUGGAAACCGUAGAGCUAGAGUGUGUGAGAGGAUCGUGGAAUUCCAUGUGUAGCGGUGAAAUGCGUAGAUAUAUGGAGGAACACCAGUGGCGAAGGCGACGAUCUGGCGCAUAACUGACGCUCAGUCCCGAAAGCGUGGGGAGCAAAUAGGAUUAGAUACCCUAGUAGUCCACGCCGUAAACGAUGAGUACUAAGUGUUGGGUGUCAAAGCUCAGUGCUGCAGUUAACGCAAUAAGUACUCCGCCUGAGUAGUACGUUCGCAAGAAUGAAACUCAAAGGAAUUGACGGGGGCCCGCACAAGCGGUGGAGCAUGUGGUUUAAUUCGAAGCAACGCGAAGAACCUUACCAGGUCUUGACAUCGAUCUAAAGGCUCCAGAGAUGGAGAGAUAGCUAUAGAGAAGACAGGUGGUGCAUGGUUUCGUCAGCUCGUGUCGUGAGAUGUUGGGUUAAGUCCCGCAACGAGCGCAACCCCUGUUGCCAGUUGCCAGCAUUAAGUUGGGGACUCUGGCGAGACUGCCGGUGACAAGCCGGAGGAAGGCGGGGAUGACGUCAAAUCAUCAUGCCCCUUAUGACCUGGGCUACACACGUGCUACAAUGGACAGAGCAGAGGGAAGCGAAGCCGCGAGGUGGAGCGAAACCCAUAAAACUGUUCUCAGUUCGGACUGCAGUCUGCAACUCGACUGCACGAAGAUGGAAUCGCUAGUAAUCGCGAAUCAGCAUGUCGCGGUGAAUACGUUCUCGGGCCUUGUACACACCGCCCGUCACACCAUGAGAGUCGGUAACACCCGAAGCCGGUGGCCUAACCGCUAGGAAAGGAGCUGUCUAAGGUGGGACUGAUGAUUGGGGUGAAGUCGUAACAAGGUA